rnacentral:rRNA from 1 species
UUGGAGGGCCAAGUCUGGUGCCAGCAGCCGCGGUAAUUCCAGCUCCAAUAGCGUAUAUUAAAGUUGUUGCGGUUAAAAAGCUCGUAGUCUGAGUUCUGUUCCGGACUGGUCGGGGAGGUCACCGCCCGGUGCUUGCCCGUCAGGUUCCGAACAGCCAACCCGCCGCGAGCGGGGGCCAAGCCGGUUCUGCCGGGGUGCUCUUGACCGAGUGUCCCGCGCGGCCGGCCGCUUCACCUUGAACAAAUGAGAGUGCUCAAAGCAGGCUACUCUUGACACUAAAGCCCGAAUGUUAACUGCAUGGAAUGAUGGAAGAUGAUCUCGGUUCCAUUUUGCUGGGUGGUGGGAAUCCGAGUUAAUGAUAAACAGGGACUGUCGGGGGCAUCCGUACUACGACGCGAGAGGUGAAAUUCAGUGACCGUCGUAGGACGAACAACAGCGAAAGCAUUUGCCAAGAAUGUCUUCGUUGAUCAAGAACGAAAGUUAGAGGAUCGAAGGCGAUCAGAUACCGCCCUAGUUCUAACCCUAAACGAUGCUGACCAGCUAUUCGCCGUCGUUAUUCCCAUGACGUGGCGAGACGCCCCCGGGAAACCUCGAGUCUUUGAGUUCCGGGGGGUAGUAUGGUUGCAAAACUGAAACUUAAAGGAAUUGACGGAAGGGCACCACCAGGAGUGGAGCCUGCGGCUUAAUUUGACUCAACACGGGAAACCUCACC